rnacentral:rRNA from 1 species
GACGAACGCUGGCGGCGUGCUUAACACAUGCAAGUCGAACGGAAAGGCCCUGCUUUUGUGGGGUGCUCGAGUGGCGAACGGGUGAGUAACACGUGAGUAACCUGCCCUUGCCUUUGGGAUAACUUCAGGAAACUGGGGCUAAUACCGGAUAGGAGCUCCUGCUGCAUGGUGGGGGUUGGAAAGUUUCGGCGGUUGGGGAUGGACUCGCGGCUUAUCAGCUUGUUGGUGGGGUAGUGGCUGACCAAGGCUUUGAAGGGUAGCCGGCCUGAGAGGGGGGCCGGCCACAAUGGGCCUGAGAGACGGCCCAGACGGCUACGGGAGGCAGCAGGGGCGAAUAUGACGCAAUGGGCGGGAGCCGGUUGCGACAGCGUCGCGUUCGUGAUGACGGCCUGCGUGGUGAAAACCGCUGCCGCCUGUGACGAAGCGUCAGUGACGGUAACUGGUAAAGAAGCACCGGCUAACUACGUG